GGUUGUGACUCAGUGGUAGAGCACUCGACUGGCAUGCAUGAGCCACUGGGUUCAAACCUCAGCACCA
rnacentral:tRNA from 1 species